GGUCUGGUGGCCAAGCGGUAAGGCGGCCGACCGCAGAUCGGCAGAUCCCGCGUUCGAAUCGCGGUCAGACCU
rfam:Emiliania huxleyi CCMP1516 EMIHTscaffold_36_Cont1640, whole genome shotgun sequence.